UUUCAACUCCCUAACCCUCAUGUGAACCUACCUAUUGUUGCUUCGGCGGACUCGCCCCAGCCGGACGCGGACUGGACCGGCGGCCGCCGGGGACCUCAAACUCUUGUAUUAUCAGCAUCUUCUGAAUACGCCGCAAGGCAAAACAAAUAAAUCAAAACUUUCAACAACGGAUCUCUUGGCUCUGGCAUCGAUGAAGAACGCAGCGAAAUGCGAUAAGUAAUGUGAAUUGCAGAAUCCAGUGAAUCAUCGAAUCUUUGAACGCACAUUGCGCCCGCCAGCAUUCUGGCGGGCAUGCCUGUUCGAGCGUCAUUUCAACCCUCGACCUCCCUUUGGGGAAGUCGGCGUUGGGGACCGGCAGCACACCGCCGGCCCUGAAAUGGAGUGGCGGCCCGUCCGCGGCGACCUCUGCGUAGUAAUCCAACUCGCACCGGAACCCCGACGUGGCCACGCCGUAAAACACCCAACUUCUGAACGUUGACCUCGAAUCAGGUAGGACUACCCGCUGAACUUAAGCAUAUCAAUAAGCGG
rnacentral:rRNA from 1 species